rnacentral:pre_miRNA from 1 species
AAAAAGGCAAACCCUGGGUUUCCGUGCCAACGUUUGACUGUUCGUCUUAUAUGAAUUUUUUUUAUAAUUAGUAUUUUUAUUGUUGUUAGAUGAUAAAACAUGAUUAAUACUUUAUACAUGACUUAUUUUUUUAAUUUUUUCAUAACUUUUUCAAAUAAGACGGAUGGUCAAACGUUGGACACGGAAACCAGGGUUUGUCUUUUU